GAUGAAGAACGUAGCGAAAUGCGAUAAGUAAUGUGAAUUGCAGAAUUCAGUGAAUCAUCGAAUCUUUGAACGCACAUUGCGCCCCCUGGUAUUCCGGGGGGCAUGCCUGUCCGAGCGUCAUUGCUGCCCUCAAGCACGGCUUGUGUGUUGGGCUCCGUCCCCCCGGGGACGGGCCCGAAAGGCAGCGGCGGCACCGAGUCCGGUCCUCGAGCGUAUGGGGCUUUGUCACCCGCUCUGUAGGCCCGGCCGGCGCCAGCCGACAACCCAUCAUCCUUUUCAGGUUGACCUCGGAUCAGGUAGGGAUACCCGCUGAACUUAAGCAUAUCAAUAAGCGGAGGA
rnacentral:misc_RNA from 1 species